AACGCUAACGAAAUCAACUCGGAAGUGGAUCUCUAUCAAGAUCAAAGACCUCCGUUUAAUUUCUUCUAAAGUUUUUAUGAGUUUUUAUGAUUUUUUUUGCUUCUUGUCAUUUUUCUAACUUUGAGAUGUUUUUAUUUACGAUUAUGAACUAAUUCCCUAAAUACCUAGGUAAGAUGAAACCUAUGAUGAAUCUUAUUAUUUGAUUUCUGAUUUACAUGCUAAAUACUUAAUUCUUGUUCUUAA
rnacentral:lncRNA from 1 species